rnacentral:rRNA from 1 species
UACGAAGGGGACUAGCGUUGUUCGGAAUCACUGGGCGUAAAGCGCACGUAGGCGGAUUCGUAAGUCAGGGGUGAAAUCCCGGGGCUCAACCUCGGAACUGCCUUUGAUACUGCGGUGCUUGAGGACUGGAGAGGAGACUGGAAUUCAUGGUGUAGCAGUGAAAUGCGUAGAGAUCAUGAGGAAGACCAGUGGCGAAGGCGGGUCUCUGGACAGUUCCUGACACUGAGACACGAAGGCCAGGGGAGCAAACGGG